GGGGGUAUAGCUAAGUGGUAGAGCGUUUGACUACAGAUCAAGAGGUCUUCAGUUCAAAUCUGGGUGCCCCCC